CCAGCAGCCGCGGUAAUUCCAGCUCCGCAAGUGUAUUCCUAUACUGUUGCGGUUAAAAAGCUCGUAGUUGGAUCUGAGUGUUUAGCGCUUGGUGCAGUUCUGCUGUUACUGAGUGCGGCACAUAAUCGCCAAUUGGUUGCCACUGUUGCCUUAACCGGUGAUGGUGGUUGACUGUUGGCAUGUUUACUUUGAACAAAUCAGAGUGCUCAAUACGGGCGUUUCGCUUGUAUGGUCGUGCAUGGAAUAAUAGAAUAGGACCUUGGUUCUAUUUUGUUGGUUUUCGGAAUUGAGGUAAUGAUUAAAAGGGACAGACGGGGGCAUUCGUACUGCAACGGGAGAGGUGAAAUUCUUGGAUCGUUGCAA
rnacentral:rRNA from 1 species